GCGGCGUGCUUAACACAUGCAAGUCGAACGGUGAAGCCAAGCUUGCUUGGUGGAUCAGUGGCGAACGGGUGAGUAACACGUGAGCAACCUGCCCUGGACUCUGGGAUAAGCGCUGGAAACGGCGUCUAAUACUGGAUAUGUGACGUGAUCGCAUGGUCGUGUUUGGAAAGAUUUUUCGGUCUGGGAUGGGCUCGCGGCCUAUCAGCUUGUUGGUGAGGUAAUGGCUCACCAAGGCGUCGACGGGUAGCCGGCCUGAGAGGGUGACCGGCCACACUGGGACUGAGACACGGCCCAGACUCCUACGGGAGGCAGCAGUGGGGAAUAUUGCACAAUGGGCGGAAGCCUGAUGCAGCAACGCCGCGUGAGGGAUGACGGCCUUCGGGUUGUAAACCUCUUUUAGCAGGGAAGAAGCGAAAGUGACGGUACCUGCAGAAAAAGCGCCGGCUAACUACGUGCCAGCAGCCGCGGUAAUACGUAGGGCGCAAGCGUUAUCCGGAAUUAUUGGGCGUAAAGAGCUCGUAGGCGGUUUGUCGCGUCUGCUGUGAAAUCCCGAGGCUCAACCUCGGGCCUGCAGUGGGUACGGGCAGACUAGAGUGCGGUAGGGGAGAUUGGAAUUCCUGGUGUAGCGGUGGAAUGCGCAGAUAUCAGGAGGAACACCGAUGGCGAAGGCAGAUCUCUGGGCCGUAACUGACGCUGAGGAGCGAAAGGGUGGGGAGCAAACAGGCUUAGAUACCCUGGUAGUCCACCCCGUAAACGUUGGGAACUAGUUGUGGGGACCAUUCCACGGUUUCCGUGACGCAGCUAACGCAUUAAGUUCCCCGCCUGGGGAGUACGGCCGCAAGGCUAAAACUCAAAGGAAUUGACGGGGACCCGCACAAGCGGCGGAGCAUGCGGAUUAAUUCGAUGCAACGCGAAGAACCUUACCAAGGCUUGACAUAUACGAGAACGGGCCAGAAAUGGUCAAC
rnacentral:rRNA from 1 species